CACGGGGGGAGCAAGCGUUGUUCGGAAUCACUGGGCGUGAAGGGCGUGUAGGCGGUUGUGUAAGUGGGAUGUGAAAUGCCUCGGCUUACCCGGGGACCUGCAUCCCAUACUGCAUGACUUGAGUACGGGAGAGGAUGAGGGAAUUCCUGGUGUAGCGGUGAAAUGCGUAGAUAUCAGGAGGAACACCGGUGGCGAAGGCGCUCAUCUGGCCCGAUACUGACGCUGAGGCGCGAAAGCUAGGGUAGCGAACGGG
rnacentral:rRNA from 1 species